GUGGGGAGGGGUGCAGAGCCCAGGGCCCUACCCCCAGGAAGAGAAGCCAGACGUCGUGACCUGGGAUUCCUGGGUUGUCUGGCGUUUCCCAGGAGGGGCGGGAAAAGGUGCCCCACGGGCCCCCACAAAGCUAACCGGGCCCCCUCAUGAGUGGGGGUGGGGCGAGGAAGAGUAGCUUCCUACCCACCAGCCGUGUGGACGUUUGAAUCCUUCACCCGAGGGCCUCGGCCCGUUCCCCUGAGCGAGUCUGUGAGCCCCCACGACUUGUUUUAAAAGGGACGAGAGCAAUUGCGAAGUGUAAAUGAAAAGCCUCGCUCUCAGCUUCAGCCCCAACUCCUACUGUGUUCCAGCCUCUCCCCUGACUCUUACUCUGGAGGCUGCCAGGGUGUUGCUGCUGUACUUUAAGGCCAUCCUGUGGCUGCCCUGUCAGAAGAAAGCUUGAUGGUGGCGAGGAUUUUACAGAAAGUAAUUAGGACUUAGACUGAACGAACAUUUGCAAUAAAAGAAGGUUGUGUUAGCGCAGUGCUGGUGCCUGCAACUUUACCCCUGCCAAGGCCAAGAAAUUCUGCCACGUUUCCCUGAACACCUAUAACUUGGCCCCCUUGUGUACCGGCAGUAUUCCAUAUUAUUACAUGUGGUGCUGAUUUUUAAUGAAUAUUAUAAAACUUUGGCUCACUCUACUGAGAGAAGGAUCAUAAAUCCCCCCUGUAAAAUGGGCACUGGCAUAUGCUGAGGAAGCAGGGAAGCUUUGCCCUGGGAGUCUUGUGAUAUCAGCCAAAGUGUUACUCUGAACCACCUUCUUUUGAGGGCAGAGUUUUAAAAGGCCCCAUUUUGACCAUCUGUGUGAGAAGCUAAGAGAUGGUCGAAAGGAAGCUGAAGGGGCCAAGCUGAUUUUUCUAACAGCAUUGCAGGCACUCUCAUGUAGGUCUAGAACCACACGAAGUUUCUCUCUGCUAGCUUUUAUGGUUUCCAGAUGAAGAGAAGCCUCAGAGCUUAGAGCAGGUCUCAGUCUCCUCACUUUGAGUCUGGUGCCCCUUUUGACAGAACACCCUACUUCUGAGGUCCCUGUCUGGCGCCCUAGCCAGGACAGAGAAGACUGAUCUCUGGUCUGCUCUGGCAGGGCCAGUUCUUAGUCUUGCGGAUGGUGAUGUUUCUGCAUUCCUCACUCCUCAACCGGUAACACUCUCCAGACCAGAUUUUGAACACACACGUGCUGAAGGCCACCAGUGAAAAGACUGUAGGGUCACAUAGCUCAUACCAUUUCAAGGAUUCAUUGUCUAACUGGAGAUUGGCGGCACAGCCCUGGACCCACAGUUCAGGAUUAGAGAAUUUCUAGCUGCACAGAAUGUCCUUGGAAGGCUGACCCAGACCACCUUGAGGAGGGACAUGAUUCAUCUCCAGGGAGGUGGCUGUUUACAAGGUGUCAUGUGGGGGAGGCCCAGGACGAUGACGGGAUGUCAGCAUGGGAAGAGCAGAAGAGGAAGGCUUAAGUCAAAGACACCAACAGACAUGGAGAGAGCGGAAGGAAAGAAAAGUUGGACUAGAGAGAGAAUUGAGGGAAGGGUAAGAGGCCCCAGUGAAAGGCUUGAGUUUUUGUUUUGUUUUGGUUUGGUUUGGUUUGGUUUUUGUUUUUGUUUGUUUUCCAGAGCCACAGGAACAUUCUAUAGCUCUCAGUAGAGUUUGCAGAUGACCACGGGUUUAGAGUAUCAACUGCACUGUCCUGUAGAAUGCCUUUUGGGUAGCAGGCUCCGAAUAAAUGUUCGUUGAUUGAACGCAUUUCCCAUACGAUAGCAAGUAACAUGUUUGAACAUUUAAAUUCUGGAAAAAAAAAAAGAAAGAAAGAAAAGCUGAUAGGGUAGGGUUUCCAAGAUCUGAAUCACCGACCCUGCAAGACCUCCCAGAGGAAAAAAUUAAGAGGAAAAUAAAAUGUUUGAGAAUGACGAACAAAUUUCCUUCUGAAAUGAUAAGGAAAAAGACAUGGUCAAGCAUUUUAGGACUCCUCUAUCUGCACCUACCUUCCCCAAGUUGAGGUGUUUCUCCUUCCUGAAAGUCACUGAGACUUCUCAUGGUUUUGACGUAUCUGCCACAACCACACCAGCAUAUCAGUAAACAGUUACCAUUCAAGUGAGUGUUGGUAUGUGUAAUUUAUAGGACCCUCAGGCAAUAUGCAAAGAUAUAUAAAUUCAGAUGAUCUAAGUUACAGAAAAAUGUAGUUAGCUGAUUAAAUUAAGAAGUAGUGUUCAUAACCAGAGACUGAUAAGAUUUUAAGAUUAGUUUGUGCUGAUGUUUAUUCAUUUCCUGUUCAAACAUUCUUCAAAGCAGUGAUCAGACACCAAUCCAAUCUGGAAGAUACCUUGUUACUUUUCUCUUCCAUUCUGGCUUGUCUUAAGUGCCAAUUACACAUGUCAGGCAUUUUGCUGGUUUUUGCAUUCCUUUGCUCAUUGACAUCUAGAGCGGACUUCUCCCAGUAAGUACAUAAAGUGAUUUGUUCUUGUGUGUUUGUAAAACUUGGUUCUAUAACUGCCAGAUGUCUUUUGAAGUGGCAUUGUGGCACCGCCCCUCUUUUGGGAGGAACAUUGAGGUGUGGAGUAGGUCUGUUUUGUUCCCUAGAUAUCAAGAUGGAUGUAAUGUACAUAUUCUCCAACCAAAUCCUAGACUCUCGUGCAGUAGGAAUGAAAGGAGGCAAACCAUGUUCAAUGGCUAAAUAUUUGGUGUGGACCAAAAAAGGUAACUUCGCCAAACUAAGGGUAAGUAGAGCUCUCCCAAAAAUGUCUUUUGAGAGCAUAAAGUUGAAACUGCUGUGGGAGCAAAGAGCCUGGACAGACAGGAUUAUAAUAUGGAAUCCUUGGACUCCUUUGGGUUUUGCUUGUCUGCUUAUAGUCAUGCUGGGAAAGGCCUGGGAACAAAUGUGAAUGGCUUUACUCAUGACAUUUAGUAAGGACUUGCUGUGUCUGUGCACUGACCAGGCUGCUAACUGCUUGGCGUGGAUUAUCUCCUUCAGUCUUCAACAGUCAUCUUAUGGGCAAGAUUCUGGCGGUAGCCUUGUUUCACUGAUAAGGAAGUUCAAGUCAGAAGCCUGACUCAAGUCUGACUGGACUGAAAGCAAGGUGUUGGCAGGGCUGCAUUCCUUUUCAGAAGCUCUGGAGAAGAAUUUGUUACCUUGUCUUUUCCAGUUUCUAGAGGCUGCACACAUUCCUUGAGGCUUAAAAUGUUUUGUAUCUUUAAUCAAAGCUAAUUCUUCACUCGGAAAAGAGGGUGUUUUGAAUUUAAUGUGUAACAACUAUUCAGUGAAAAAGGAAAAUUGAAAUAAAUGUGUUCAUAAUAAAAA